rnacentral:lncRNA from 1 species
CAGGUUUCUGGUCCAGAUAACUAGGCUGCUGCAGAAGACCCUCACUGUGAUGCUUCGAAAUUCUCACAAGCAUACAAGGUUAAAUCUAUGAAAUAGGUUGCAUGGGUCCAGGCACACACAACACUGGUCCUCAAGAAUGAUAAAGAGAGUUAACUGGAUUCAGUCCAGCUUGGUGGAAGGGAAGAACAUGGAUGGACUUUUCUAACGUGGCUUGAUGGUCCCAGUGUUUUUUUUUCUUUUGAGAAAAGUUCCUGCUAUGUAGCCCUGGUUGGCUUAGAAUUUCCUACAGAGACCAGACUGGCCCUGAACCCAUCUCUGACUUCUCCUGACAGCUGCAAUUAGAGGUGGCAAUGUGAAGCAGGAGCGUAAAUCGAACACUCAGUUUUGUUCCUUCAUGAAUUCCGAAGCAUCCUUUUCUUUUACUAUGGGAGAAGAAGAUUCACCUGCCGUUUACAUUUCUUCCAGACAUCAAGCUGCUUCCCAAGUAUCAAAGAAAGUAGGAAUAGAAUCACAGACCAAAGCCAGGUCUUCUUACCGAUGGAAACACCACCUAGCUGCAUCACAGAACAUGGAAAAGUCAAGCUGGUGCUCACCUGCAAGUGUUAUUCCUGUCGCUGGACCGGAAGGUGCUUACGCAUGGUACAAGGACUCCAACCCAUCGAAUUCUGCUGCCCAAAUUUGAGGUGACUGUAUCUCACUGAUGAAGACCCACUGCUGACUCCUGUGAACUGAACUGCCAAUUUCCUGACAAAGCAGAUAGGAUUUGCUCCAAAGAACCAUUUCUUAACAGUUCGACUUCCCCUGUAUCCUUUCUUUUCCACUACUUCUGUUGGGCGGUGGGCUAAGAGGGAAGUUAAAGCAUAUAAGAACCACAAUUAAAAAUAGGUUUUGAA